CCUGUUUGUGAAAGGCUGAUUGCUGAUUCGCUUGGUAGACUUUUUCACCCUUAUGAUGUGCAGUUUAAAUUAGUUAGUGAAAAAACCUAAAUUUGGAAACAGUAGAACUGUCAUGGAAGAAACUGACGUUUACCUCUUGUGAGGUCGUUCAGCAUCAUGUGCUGGGGCAUUCUCUGACAACUCAGUACUGACCUUCAGGAUCGUCCGACUCAGCAUGGUGAUAGCACUUAACACCGUGAACUCCUUUUCACCACCGUGAUAAAAUAGUAAGAUGUCAAAUGUGUUAGCUUGAACCAUAUGAUUUUUGUAGGUCGAAUAUGGUCAAAUGGCAGCAAUUAGACUCAACCUAAUAAGUGGUCUUUCCCUUAGAGGGGUUAGACAUGAGUUGGGAGACAGAACAGUAACUCAUCAAUAGAUGUAAAAUGAUUAAGACCUGCAAUUAAGAAGCCUUUAUUUUGAAGUCAAUAAUGCACAAGUUAGGAAUUCCUUAAGAUUUUUCGUGACUGACUACAUGGCAGUGAAUCUGUUCCUCUAGAUGAACCACGUGGUCCAAUUUAUAAGCUAUAGGGGAAAUCAACCUACUGACUAUAUGCAACUCAGUUUCAUCCCAGAAUAUUAUUAUCUGCCUUAACCACCCACCUUAUUGCUGAGGGUUGAUGCUGGAGGCUUUCCAGAAAAAAUUCUACCAUCAAGUGACCAAGAUCUACACUCAUGGUCGAUAUUUGGCAGAACAUGCUGAAGCUCUGAAGGCUAGUCCUGGAGAAGAGUGAACGGUGGAGCUGCUGCAGCAUCUCGGACGAACAGGCAACUUCCCGAAGUGGCUGCUUUGCAGCACACGGGGCUCACUGGGAUAUGUGAGCUCUGGUUGUGUCUCCUUUAAAAUCAGUCACCUUACGUGACAGUCACACCUUGUGAAAUGGCCCUCAGGGUCUCCAAAGUCCCGGGAGAGGUAAGCCCCAGGUUCUUCCUGGGUCUGCAGAUUAAACUGUUCAUCCUUGGGAAGAUCGACUCACCCCUCUGUCCUCAACUAACUGCUACAGCAUUUUACCUGGGUUACCACAUGUCUGUCACCGCUUAUCACUGCAUCCGGAUGUGGUAGGUACUAUUUUUAUCCUCAUUUUAUAGAUUUCCUGAAGUUCAGAGACAUUAAGUAAUUAGUCCAAGGUCACUCAGGUGAUACAUGGUAGAACUGAGACCCAAACUAAGUAACUUGACUUCCCCGGUAACCCCUCUGCCCUGUGUCUGUGAAAUGAAGUAAAAACACCUCCUCUACUGCACACAAAGCAGAUGCAAGAUCAAAGGAGAAGAUAAUGCAACUGGAAGAAUUGAUAAUGAAAAAGAUCCUACUCAGAUGUUGGUUGACAUUCUUUUUUUUUUUUUUUUUUUUAUUAAUGUUAUGAUAGAUUACAACCUUGUGAGAUUUCAGUUGUACAUUUUUGUUAGUCAUGUUGUGGGUACACCACUUCCCCCUCUGUGCCCUCCCCCCACCCCCCCUUUUCCCUGGUAACCACCGAUCAGAUCUCCAUAUCAAUAUACUAAAUUCCACCUAUGAGUGGAGUGGUUGACAUUCUUUUAAAUUACCAUUGUGGCUAUCAUUA
rnacentral:lncRNA from 1 species